CUAUGAAAUAGCAUGCACUUUGACAUGUCUGGACAUUUAGCUAUGAGUCACUAUUCCAGACAGAGGUUUCUCCAUUACCCUUAGCCCUGGAGAAUAGAUAGCAAAUAGCAAAAUCACAGUCCACAGCAGAGAGGCAGCCUAACUGAGAAAUAAAU